CCGUAUGGGGACCGUACCUGUAUGGGGACCGUACCGUAUGGGGACUGUACAGACUUAUAGUCAGUGCAUUUUACUAAGGUAGGUGAGUCAACCACACUAGAUAGUACUAGUCAUUGUGUGCAUAUAGUUGUCACACUGGUAAUACAUAUUGGAAUCAGGCUCUCACAUGAUCAGCUGAUGGUUAAGCUUUCUGAGUAUUUAUUCAUUAAGACACAUAAACAGCAGACCAGGGCUGGCUCCAGGCCACUAGAGGGACCCUGACUCUUACAUGUUGUCGUCCCCCAGCCUCUCCUUGUGUGUCUCCUUCCUUCCAUUCUGGCAGAACAUUGUGGUGAUCGUGCUCUUUGCCAUCCUGUGGUUGAAGAGUGCGUCGUCAUGGGCCAGGGGUCUACAGAGUGUACCCUGGCACAGUGCCGAGGACAGGGAAUGGUCUCAACAUGUCUGUGAUCUGUGGUUCCCUGAACGUGGUUCUGUGGGUGGGCAACACCUGGGUCCCCGAUAAAGAGACCCCAUGGCACGACAUGGACAGACUGCCCUGCACCAGAGCCUAGGGAUUGAGCACAGACCUUAUAUGAGCCCCCUUCGCCAUCCACUGAUGCCCUCAUCAGCAACAGUGCCCGCAGAGGAGAGGUGGUAUGGUGCCCUUGCAGGGACAAACUUUAAAAUAAAAAAAUGUUUUACUUCCUCUGAGUUGCUCUUGUCACAUUAAAAAAAUGUUUUGUGUCUGUAAACAGUUAUUAUUCUAUUACUGUAUCUGUUUCCUUCAACCUUUAGCUUUUUAAUCACAAUGUUGCUUUCUGUCCAUCCACUGACAUGUAAUAUGCUUUGGUCAUUUAGAAUCUUUGGUCACUUGGAAUCUUUGGUCACUUGGAAUAUUCUUUCAUGUACAAUACUGAAUGUAUUAGAUAUUAUUAUUGUGUUUGUAUCUCUCUCAGGACAAUCCCAGACAAUGAAUUGCCUUGAUGAAGUCUGUGACUGUAAACUGCUUCAAAAUCGUGAUGUAUCAUGGGAGUAUCUGAAGAACAACUGUGUCAUUCGACUGCUGAGAACUUCCAUACGUGAAGAAAAGGGCCUGACCAAUGAUGAAGGGUCUGACUGUAGUGCCCAACUGUUAGUUGAUGGCCUGUGGAGGACCGGUCUUUUA